rnacentral:rRNA from 1 species
UACGUAGGGGGCGAGCGUUGUCCGGAUUUAUUGGGCGUAAAGAGCUCGUAGGCGGCUUGUCGAGUCGACUGUGAAAACCCGCAGCUCAACUGCGGGCCUGCAGUCGAUACGGGCAGGCUAGAGUUCGGUAGGGGAGACUGGAAUUCCUGGUGUAGCGGUGAAAUGCGCAGAUAUCAGGAGGAACACCGAUGGCGAAGGCAGAUCUCUGGGCCUUAACUGACGCUGAGGAGCGAAAGCAUGGGGAGCAAACAGG